UAACAUUAGAUGCAAUCUUAUGGCUACCUAAUUGUGCUACGUAAAGCCCCAGCCGUAACCUCAGGCAAGAGGUGGAAGAAAGAACCGCAUGAGUCAUGCUCUCAGACCGAAACAGAUUCAAUUAUUUCCAACAAAAGCACCUCUCCGGAGAGGAAACUUUCACAGUUACUGAAGGGUGGGAUGGUGGGUGUUUUAAUAGACUCCGGAACUUUGUUGGAUCAAUUUCCUUAGCCGGAGUGACACACUGCGUCCUCUGGAGCCUCUGAAAGCACAGCAGAGAAUCAGGGGGCUUUGCUGCAAGAAGUGAGCUGCGGAGCGUGCAACGAGCAACAGAGGAUUCCCCGGAUUGGGCGAAAGGGACCUUCUGAAAGCAGAGCCCGUCCUUCCUACGGAGGAAGGCAGAGCCUGGAUGCAAUCGGAGCUCGUUACGCUCCUUUCCGUGGGCUACCCUCCCUCGCGCACACUUUCACAUGACCUUUGCGGGGUCACCGAGUUUGGGAGAAGGGCAGCGAAGCGCCCCUGGCCAUUCGCGUUCCCUUUCUGAGCCUGAGCUUCGUCAUGCGAGUAUGUGGGGCAGCGCCGACACCGAGCCUUCGUUUGCACAAGGAAGUUGUAGCCGAGCAGUUUAGAAUCCCCUCCCUAUACACUCGCAUGUAACCUGAAACCUGCACAAUGCAGAAGGCAUCUGAUGAAGCGGACGGAAGUAACUCGGGGCAUCGUGUUGAGACCCCUGAAAAUACUACACAGAGAACCAGGAGGCCCUGCUGAGAGAUCUAGGAAAGCUUGUGCCUGAAUAAAUGCUGUAACCUCGCUUUUGGAAAGUGUUGUUUCGAGUAUUGUGUUGACAUGCUGCCUUGCAUGAGUUCCAACAGAAGAAAUCAGUUAAUCUUACACAUAUCUACUCAGAAGGAAGCAUUGUUGAGUGCAAUAGGAUUUGCUCCCAGGGAGGAGGGGAUCGGAUUGCGGCCUAAGUGUGCCAUUCAGUGGUUAACAGCAGAAUUUGCAAAACAAAAGCUCCAACUUCUCAAGCAAGGGGGAGCAUGCAGACUUUUCCUGUGGCCACCACAUGGUCUUUAGUCACGAUGACAUGCAAAACGGUACAGAAAGGGGAGUUUGCAAUUCCUCCAGCAACUAUUUUAACAUGGAAGAGAUUUACAGCAACUGCCGCCCCAGAGUGUGCAAGCCGUCGCAAUAUUACAUGGAAGUAAAUUCCACUGAACACAGUGAGACUGACUCCCACGUAGCCACGCAUCUGAUUAUGCUGUAAAAGCAAAGUUAUAAGGAAGGAGUGGGACUUCGUAGGCGAGACCCAAUAACAACUUGGGAGUCCUAAGUUUGGCUGAACUUCACCAAAUAAACACGCGUGCAAUCAGCCACUGUCGGAAACGGCGCCAUGCGUGCUGCUUUGCCAUGCGUGGCACUUUCCAAACUCUUUGUUUGGGGCGUGUGUUGAUUAUGGCACGGUAUUUGCAUGUUACUCAUGACUUUUCUUAAUCCAGGAAAUGAGGAGGACUCACACUGGGGCAAGAGGACAACUAUCCUACUUCCUUGACACAUGUUCUUCUGUCCCCAGUGGAUAUUGUUUUCCCACAAGAAAGAAACUCGAGCUGCUCGAGGAGGAAACAUUAAGUAAGCUUCACAAACGACCGAGCUUUGGAGCCAACUCUGUCCGAGGCGAAGGGGAAAAGUAGUAGCAGCCCUUCGGCAUGAGUUGGAUCCAUCCCAGAGAGGUUGCUAAAGCGACUCGCCUAUCUCACCAUCGCGGAGCAAAAUAAACUUUACUAACGCA